GGGGUUAUAGCUCAGCUGGGAGAGCGCCUGCCUUGCACGCAGGAGGUCGGCGGUUCGAUCCCGCCUAACUCCACCA
rnacentral:tRNA from 2 species